AAUAGAUACCCAGGUAGUCCACGCCGUAAACGAUGAGUGCUAAGUGUUAGAGGGUUUCCGCCCUUUAGUGCUGCAGCUAACGCAUUAAGCACUCCGCCUGGGGAGUACGGCCGCAAGGCUGAAACUCAAAGGAAUUGACGGGGGCCCGCACAAGCGGUGGAGCAUGUGGUUUAAUUCGAAGCAACGCGAAGAACCUUACCAGGUCUUGACAUCCUCUGCCAACCCUAGAGAUAGGGCGUUCCCCUUCGGGGGACAGAGUGACAGGUGGUGCAUGGUUGUCGUCAGCUCGUGUCGUGAGAUGUUGGGUUAAGUCCCGCAACGAGCGCAACCCUUGAUCUUAGUUGCCAGCAUUCAGUUGGGCACUCUAAGGUGACUGCCGGUGACAAACCGGAGGAAGGUGGGGAUGACGGUCAAAUCAUCAUGCCCCUUAUGACCUGGGCUACACACGUGCUACAAUGGAUGGUACAAAGAGCUGCGAACCCGCGAGGGUAAGCGAAUCUCAUAAAAGCCAUUCUCAGUUCGGAUUGUAGG
rnacentral:rRNA from 1 species